CCCUUUAAGGAACUCUGCAAAUUGACACCGUAACUUCGGGAGAAGGUGUGCCGCUGGCGGUUAGUGACUUCGCGUCACGAAGCUGUCGGUGGUCGCAGUGAAAUGGCGGUUGUGACUGUUUACUAAAAACACAGGACUCUGCGAAGUCGUAAGACGACGUAUAGGGUCUGAUGCCUGCCCGGUGCUGGAAGGUUAAGGGGAUAUGUCAGCGCAAGCGAAGCAUUGAACCGAAGCCCCAGUAAACGGCGGCCGUAACGAUAACGGUCCUAAGGUAGCGAAAUUCCUUGUCGGGUAAGUUCCGACCUGCACGAAGGGCAUAACAACAUCCGCACUGUCUCGACCAGGGACUCAGCGAAAUUACAUUGGGGGUGAAGAUGCCCUCUACCCGCGGAAAGACGGAAAGACCCCAUGAACCUUUACUGCAACUUGGCAGUGAUUUUCGGGUUGUUCUGCGUAGGAUAGGUGGGAGGCUUUGAAGCCGGGCUUCCGGGUUCGGCAGAGCCAACGUUGAAAUACCACCCUGAAUAAUCUGGAAAUCUAACCUGCGCCCAUGAUCUGGGCGAGGGACACUGCCUGGUGGGCAGUUUGACUGGGGCGGUCGCCUCCUAAAUUGUAACGGAGGCGUGCGACGGUUCCCUCAGGCUGAUUGGAAACCAGCCGUAGAGUGCAAACGCAUAAGGGAGCUUUACUGCGAGACUGACAAGUCGAACAGUUGCGAAAGCAGGUGUUAGUGAUCCGGUGGUACCACAUGGAAGGGCCAUCGCUCAUCGGAUAAAAGGUACUCUGGGGAUAACAGGCUGAUCGCGCCUGAGAGUUCACAUCGGCGGCGCGGUUUGGCACCUCGAUGUCGGCUCAUCGCAUCCUGGGGCUGGAGCAGGUCCCAAGGGUUUGGCUGUUCGCCAAUUAAAGCGGUACGCGAGCUGGGUUUAAAACGUCGUGAGACAGUUUGGUCCCUAUCUUCCGUGGGCGCAGGACACUUGAGAGGAGCUAUCCAUAGUACGAGAGGACCUGGAUGGACGAACCUCUGGUGCUCCGGUUGUCACGCCAGUGGCAUAGCCGGGUAGCCAUGUUCGGAACAGAUAACCGCUGAAGGCAUAUAAGCGGGAAGCUGGCCUCAAGACUAGGUGUCCCUGACGCAAGUCACUAAAGGCCCCUCGAAGACUACGAGGUUGAUAGGCUCGGUGUGGAAGCGCUGCGAGGCGUGGAGCUAACGAGUACUAAUAGGCCGUGCGACUUGACCCC
rnacentral:rRNA from 1 species